rnacentral:rRNA from 1 species
UACGUAGGGUGCAAGCGUUGUCCGGAAUUACUGGGCGUAAAGAGUUCGUAGGCGGUUUGUCGCGUCGUUUGUGAAAACCAGCAGCUCAACUGCUGGCUUGCAGGCGAUACGGGCAGACUUGAGUACUGCAGGGGAGACUGGAAUUCCUGGUGUAGCGGUGAAAUGCGCAGAUAUCAGGAGGAACACCGGUGGCGAAGGCAGGUCUCUGGGCCGAUACUGACGCUGAGGAGCGAAAGCGUGGGGAGCGAACAGG